UGUAAGCGUAUACCAAAGUUGUUGCAGUUAAAACGCUCGUAGUCGGAAUUUGGCAGUUCCGGAUGUGUGCACGUCGUGUGCGCACUUCGCGGGGAUUGCUUUUGUGGUCUUGCGUAGGAUGAGGCACUUUUAUUAGUGAACGUCCGCACGCUGCCACUUUUUACUGUGAGAAAAUCAGAGUGCUCAAAGCAGGCAUUUGCCGUGAAUGUAUUAGCAUGGAAUAAUAGAAUAGGACUCGGUUCUAUUUUGUUGGUUUGUUGGGACUGAGUAAUGAUUAAGAGGGACAGUUGGGGGCAUUUGUAUUUCGGCGCUAGAGGUGAAAUUCUUAGAUUGUCGAAAGACAAACUGCUGCGAAAGCGUCUGCCAAGGAUGUUUUCAUUGA
rnacentral:rRNA from 1 species